rnacentral:rRNA from 1 species
UACGUAGGGGGCGAGCGUUGUCCGGAGUUACUUGGGCGUAAAGCGCACGCAGGCGGUCUGCUAAGUUUGGAGUGACAGUUGGUGGCUUAACUGCCAAAGUGCUUCGAAAACUGACAGACUUGAGGGCUUCAGAGGGACACGGAAUUCCGGGUGGAGUGGUGAAAUGCGUAGAGAUCCGGAGGAACACCAAAGGCGAAGGCAGUGUCCUGGGGAGUACCUGACGCCUCAGGGUGACGAAAGCCAGGGGAGCGAACGGG